rnacentral:rRNA from 2 species
GUCUCUUUGAUAUAUAAUAAUAAGGAGUUGGGCCUGCUCGGUGAUAUUUUUAACAGCUGCGGUAUUAUAACUGUACUAAGGUAGCAUAAUAAUUUGCCUUAUAAAUUAGGGCUAGAAUGAAUGGUUUGACGAAAAUUAUACUGUCUCUACUUUAAUUAUUAGAAAUUAAUUUUUAUAGUGAAAAAGCUUGGAUGAUUUAAAGGGACGAGAAGACCCUAUUGAGCUUUAUGUUAAAAUAUAUAUAAUUAUAAAAUAUUAUUUGUUUUUUAUUUUUGGUUGGGGUGAUCAAGGAAUAAAAUUUUAAUAGUAUAAUUUCCUUAUUAAUAUUAUUUGUUAGAAUAAUAAACCAAAAAUUUUGCUUAAAUGAUAAGUUACCAUAGGGAUAACAGCGUAAUUUUUUUAGAGAGUUCAUAUUAAAAAAAAAGAUUGCGACCUCGAUGUUGGAUUAAAAUAACCAUUAGGUGUAGAAGCUUUAUUUGGUAAAUCUGUUCGAUUUUUAAAAUUUU